GAUGAACGCUGGCGGCGUGCCUAAUACAUGCAAGUCGAGCGAACGGACGAGAAGCUUGCUUCUCUGAUGUUAGCGGCGGACGGGUGAGUAACACGUGGAUAACCUACCUAUAAGACUGGGAUAACUUCGGGAAACCGGAGCUAAUACCGGAUAAUAUUUUGAACCGCAUGGUUCAAAAGUGAAAGACGGUCUUGCUGUCACUUAUAGAUGGAUCCGCGCUGCAUUAGCUAGUUGGUAAGGUAACGGCUUACCAAGGCAACGAUGCAUAGCCGGCCUGAGAGGGUGAUCGGCCACACUGGAACUGAGACACGGUCCAGACUCCUACGGGAGGCAGCAGUAGGGAAUCUUCCGCAAUGGGCGAAAGCCUGACGGAGCAACGCCGCGUGAGUGAUGAAGGUCUUCGGAUCGUAAAACUCUGUUAUUAGGGAAGAACAUAUGUGUAAGUAACUGUGCACAUCUUGACGGUACCUAAUCAGAAAGCCACGGCUAACUACGUGCCAGCAGCCGCGGUAAUACGUAGGUGGCAAGCGUUAUCCGGAAUUAUUGGGCGUAAAGCGCGCGUAGGCGGUUUUUUAAGUCUGAUGUGAAAGCCCACGGCUCAACCGUGGAGGGUCAUUGGAAACUGGAAAACUUGAGUGCAGAAGAGGAAAGUGGAAUUCCAUGUGUAGCGGUGAAAUGCGCAGAGAUAUGGAGGAACACCAGUGGCGAAGGCGACUUUCUGGUCUGUAACUGACGCUGAUGUGCGAAAGCGUGGGGAUCAAACAGGAUUAGAUACCCUGGUAGUCCACGCCGUAAACGAUGAGUGCUAAGUGUUAGGGGGUUUCCGCCCCUUAGUGCUGCAGCUAACGCAUUAAGCACUCCGCCUGGGGAGUACGACCGCAAGGUUGAAACUCAAAGGAAUUGACGGGGACCCGCACAAGCGGUGGAGCAUGUGGUUUAAUUCGAAGCAACGCGAAGAACCUUACCAAAUCUUGACAUCCUUUGACAACUCUAGAGAUAGAGCCUUCCCCUUCGGGGGGGCAAAGUGACAGGUGGUGCAUGGUUGUCGUCAGCUCGUGUCGUGAGAUGUUGGGUUAAGUCCCGCAACGAGCGCAACCCUUAAGCUUAGUUGCCAUCAUUAAGUUGGGCACUCUAAGUUGACUGCCGGUGACAAACCGGAGGAAGGUGGGGAUGACGUCAAAUCAUCAUGCCCCUUAUGAUUUGGGCUACACACGUGCUACAAUGGACAAUACAAAGGGCAGCGAAACCGCGAGGUCAAGCAAAUCCCAUAAAGUUGUUCUCAGUUCGGAUUGUAGUCUGCAACUCGACUACAUGAAGCUGGAAUCGCUAGUAAUCGUAGAUCAGCAUGCUACGGUGAAUACGUUCCCGGGUCU
rnacentral:rRNA from 1 species